AUUGAACGCUGGCGGCAUGCUUUACACAUGCAAGUCGAACGGCAGCGACGGGUGCUUGCACCGUGGUGGCGAGUGGCGGACGGUGAGUAAUGCAUCGGAACGUGUACCUAAAGGUGGGGGAUAACGCAUCGAAAGAUGUGCUAAUACCGCAUAUUCUCUGAGGAGAAAGUAGGGGAUCGAAAGACCUUAUGCUUUUGGAGCGGCCGAUGUCUGAUUAGCUAGUUGGUAAGGUAAUGGCUUACCGAGGCGACGAUCAGUAGUUGGUCUGAGAGGACGACCAGCCACACUGGGACUGAGACACGGCCCAGACUCCUACGGGAGGCAGCAGUGGGGAAUUUUGGACAAUGGGCGCAAGCCUGAUCCAGCAAUGCCGCGUGAGUGAAGAAGGCCUUCGGGUUGCAAAGCUCUUUCAGUUGAAAAGAAAAAGCCGUGACUAAUAAUCAUGGUUCAUGACGGUAUCAACAGAAGAAGCACCGGCUAACUACGUG
rnacentral:rRNA from 1 species